GUGGGGAAUAUUGCACAAUGGGGGAAACCCUGAUGCAGCGAUGCCGCGUGGAGGAAGAAGGUUUUCGGAUUGUAAACUCCUGUCUUAAAGGACGAUAAUGACGGUACUUUAGGAGGAAGCUCCGGCUAACUACGUGCCAGCAGCCGCGGUAAUACGUAGGGAGCGAGCGUUGUCCGGAAUUACUGGGUGUAAAGGGAGCGUAGGCGGGAUCGCAAGUCAGAUGUGAAAUGCAUGGGCUUAACCCAUGAGCUGCAUUUGAAACUGCGGUUCUUGAGUGAAGUAGAGGUAAGCGGAAUUCCUGGUGUAGCGGUGAAAUGCGUAGAUAUCAGGAGGAACACCGGUGGCGAAGGCGGCUUACUGGGCUUUUACUGACGCUGAGGCUCGAAAGCGUGGGGAGCAAACAGG
rnacentral:rRNA from 1 species